GCUAACCACAGCGAACUCCCCUCCAACCUCCAACUGGAAUGGAAAUGUCGAAAAGCCCUCUCCCUUUAUUUCUGCUAAAGGCCGCCAGGGUGGCUCCCCUCUUGCUCCGCCGGUCAAAGCGGCGUUCCAGUUAACUCUGCUUCGAGCUGUACAAGCAAGGUACCUUGGUACAAGUAGUAAAAGUCCUAAGCGGGAGGCGGAGCGCAUGUGUUGCGCCCGUCGUGUUCGUAAACAAGUGUUAAAUCCUGUGCGGACUAAAUGAUCUUACCGAGGUGUUUUUGUAACAAACACCAAGGUUAUUUAAAUGAGUGGAAAACACUUAUGCUCAUGCGUGGCCAUUUACUUGGAGGAAGGGAACAAAUGGGAUAUCAAUUAUGUAACAAUCUAGUUAUGAACUACUGUAUACGGCUAGUUUUUCUCGAAGGUCUGUUGUUGCUGGUGAAGAUUCCAUACCGCAAAUACAAGGGUCUACUUGUGCCGGGGAAUAUACUGUCCUAACAAUAGCAGAAGUCUCCCCUCCCGCGGGAAGACACUGCCAGCUUGUCAUAUAGUUUAUGGUCCUCAAUUGCGGUUUCGGCGUGGGUUCCCGUUAUCCCAUCCAACAAAGGGAAUUCUCCCAAUAACCGAAACUGGGUGAUGGGACGCGAACAUUUGUUACAGUUCGAAACUGUCCGCACUUUUACGACCACUGAAGACAAGGAAAAGUUUGUUCAACCGUUUUAUUCAAAGCCUGGAUCGCCAUGGUACGUAAGUGGGAAAACCUAACCUGAACUAACCAACUAUCAUCCUACUAUUUACAAGUUCCUCAAUGUCUUGCACAGAGAAGACGCCAUGAAUUUGCACCGUUCAGAGCUAUAUCCAAAUGGGUAAACACGAAAGGCAUCCAAAAAGAUACAGAGACUCCGCUGAGAGGCUGAAGACCCUGUCAAGUACCUACGACCAAGCGCAACUGCUGCAGUACCUUCGAGGCGUUGCCUACAACGUCAUUGUAUAGUUCGCUUAUCUUCUUCCGUUCAUUAAACUAAAGCUUUUGUUCCA